GGUUUUGAUAUUCGACGGGUGAUAUUUUUAAAUUUGGAAUAAGCGAGUACUGCGAGUAGUUUGAAGUGUGGAUUUCCAAUUUCUUGUUCCGGAAAUUCCUAGCUUGAAUAAAGUGAGAAUGACUUUUCCUUAUUGUGUCUAGAGUUGCAGUAGCUAGAAUAAUGAACGAUGAUACCUUAGUAGUCGUUGGACUUAUUUAUGCUUUA